rnacentral:misc_RNA from 1 species
CCGAGAGAGGGCCGUCUCCCCCCGGGGGGCGCGCCCGACCUCCCAACCCUUCUGAACGACCCGUACCCCGUUGCCUCGGGGGCCGACCCCGCGCGGGGUCGCCCCCGGAGGGCCAACCCAACUCUGCGUCCUUGCGUCGGAGUCACGAAACACCAAUCGUAACCA